UACGAAGGGGGCUAGCGUUGCUCGGAAUCACUGGGCGUAAAGCGCACGUAGGCGGAUUGCUAAGUCAGGGGUGAAAUCCUGGAGCUCAACUCCAGAACUGCCUUUGAUACUGGCGAUCUCGAGUUCGGGAGAGGUGAGUGGAACUGCGAGUGUAGAGGUGAAAUUCGUAGAUAUCGGGAGGAACACCGGUGGCGAAGGCGGCGACCUGGGUAGAUACUGACGCUGAGGCGCGAAAGCGUGGGGAGCAAACAGG
rnacentral:rRNA from 1 species